UACGUAGGGUGCAAGCGUUAAUCGGAAUUACUGGGCGUAAAGCGUGCGCAGGCGGUUUUGUAAGUCAGAUGUGAAAUCCCCCGGGCUUAACCUGGGAACUGCGUUUGAAACUACAAGGCUAGAGUGUGGCAGAGGGGGGGUGGAAUUCCACGUGUAGCAGUGAAAUGCGUAGAGAUGUGGAGGAACACCGGUGGCGAAGGCGGCGAUCUGGGUCGAUACUGACGCUGAGGUGCGAAAGCGUGGGGAGCAAACAGG
rnacentral:rRNA from 1 species